UGCCCAGCAACUACUAUCCCUACCUACUCGUGGUACUGGACGGGAUACAAGUAUCCUCAGGGAAGAUCGGGGAACCAACCCUGGUGGGAACUUUGGUCGUUUGUGACAGGGAAGG
rnacentral:ribozyme from 1 species